GAUGAAGAACGUAGCGAAAUGCGAUAAGUAGUGUGAAUUGCAGAAUUCAGUGAAUCAUCGAAUCUUUGAACGCACAUUGCGCCCCUUGGUAUUCCUUAGGGCAUGCCUGUUCGAGCGUCAUUUAAACCUUCAAGCUAGGCUUGGUGUUGGGUGACUGUCCGCUUCACGGCGGACUCGCCUCAAAAUUAUUGGCGGCCGGUACAUUGGCUUCGAGCGCAGCAGAAACGCGAACUCGGGCCCGUCGUAUUGGCUCCCAGAAGCUAUCUUCACAAUUUUGACCUCGGAUCAGGUAGGGAUACCCGCUGAACUUAAGCAUAUCAAUAAGCGGAGGA
rnacentral:misc_RNA from 1 species